rnacentral:lncRNA from 1 species
AAGAAGAUGACAAUGAUGAUGAGAAGGAGGACAAUGACUAUGACGACGAGGAGUAGAUGUUGCUGCUUUGAUGGAGUUCAUUUCCUUUUUAGCACUUGAUGCCAAAGGGGGAGUGAUUUGUUGAUGGAUUCAUGUAUCAAAACUUUAUCUUUAUGGUGUGUAAGACUAUGUGAGCAUGAGAACUUGUAAUGGGUGCACUUUAAAUGCUUAGAACUGCUUUUAUUUAUCUAAGGAUGAUUGUGUGUUUGUGAAAAAUUUCUGUGAUGAAUGAUUUUUGAGUUUGGCAGAAUGUACGGAGAAUUCCGGAAAUUUCUCCGGAAAAUUCCGGAGAUUGUUUCGGAAUCUCCGGACAUUCUGUCACUUUUCUCUUUGAUUAUUUGUUCAAU